rnacentral:rRNA from 1 species
CCAUGCACCGAAGCUGCGGCAGCGACACUCAGGUGUUGUUGGGUAGGGGAGCGUUCUGUAAGCCUGCGAAGGUGGCCUGUGAGGGUUGCUGGAGGUAUCAGAAGUGCGAAUGCUGACAUAAGUAACGAUAAAGCGGGUGAAAAGCCCGCUCGCCGGAAGACCAAGGGUUCCUGUCCAACGUUAAUCGGGGCAGGGUGAGUCGACCCCUAAGGCGAGGCCGAAAGGCGUAGUCGAUGGGAAACGGGUUAAUAUUCCCGUACUUGGUGUUACUGCGAAGGGGGGACGGAGAAGGCUAUGUUGGCCGGGCGACGGUUGUCCCGGUUUAAGCGUGUAGGCUGGUUUUCCAGGCAAAUCCGGAAAAUCAAGGCUGAGGCGUGACGACGAGGCACUACGGUGCUGAAGCAACAAAUGCCCUGCUUCCAGGAAAAGCCUCUAAGCAUCAGGUAACACGAAAUCGUACCCCAAACCGACACAGGUGGUCAGGUAGAGAAUACCAAGGCGCUUGAGAGAACUCGGGUGAAGGAACUAGGCAAAAUGGUGCCGUAACUUCGGGAGAAGGCACGCUGACAUGUAGGUGAAGUGAUUUACUCAUGGAGCUGAAGUCAGUCGAAGAUACCAGCUGGCUGCAACUGUUUAUUAAAAACACAGCACUGUGCAAACACGAAAGUGGACGUAUACGGUGUGACGCCUGCCCGGUGCCGGAAGGUUAAUUGAUGGGGUCAGCGCAAGCGAAGCUCCUGAUCGAAGCCCCGGUAAACGGCGGCCGUAACUAUAACGGUCCUAAGGUAGCGAAAUUCCUUGUCGGGUAAGUUCCGACCUGCACGAAUGGCGUAAUGAUGGCCAGGCUGUCUCCACCCGAGACUCAGUGAAAUUGAACUCGCUGUGAAGAUGCAGUGUACCCGCGGCAAGACGGAAAGACCCCGUGAACCUUUACUAUAGCUUGACACUGAACAUUGAGCCUUGAUGUGUAGGAUAGGUGGGAGGCUUUGAAGUGUGGACGCCAGUCUGCAUGGAGCCGACCUUGAAAUACCACCCUUUAAUGUUUGAUGUUCUAACGUGGACCCGUGAUCCGGGUUGCGGACAGUGUCUGGUGGGUAGUUUGACUGGGGCGGUCUCCUCCUAAAGAGUAACGGAGGAGCACGAAGGUUGGCUAAUCCUGGUCGGACAUCAGGAGGUUAGUGCAAUGGCAUAAGCCAGCUUGACUGCGAGCGUGACGGCGCGAGCAGGUGCGAAAGCAGGUCAUAGUGAUCCGGUGGUUCUGAAUGGAAGGGCCAUCGCUCAACGGAUAAAAGGUACUCCGGGGAUAACAGGCUGAUACCGCCCAAGAGUUCAUAUCGACGGCGGUGUUUGGCACCUCGAUGUCGGCUCAUCACAUCCUGGGGCUGAAGUAGGUCCCAAGGGUAUGGCUGUUCGCCAUUUAAAGUGGUACGCGAGCUGGGUUUAGAACGUCGUGAGACAGUUCGGUCCCUAUCUGCCGUGGGCGCUGGAGAACUGAGGGGGGCUGCUCCUAGUACGAGAGGACCGGAGUGGACGCAUCACUGGUGUUCGGGUUGUCAUGCCAAUGGCACUGCCCGGUAGCUAAAUGCGGAAGAGAUAAGUGCUGAAAGCAUCUAAGCACGAAACUUGCCCCGA